GACGAACGCUGGCGGCGUGCUUAACACAUGCAAGUCGAACGGAAAGGCCCUGCUUGCAGGGUACUCGAGUGGCGAACGGGUGAGUAACACGUGGGUGAUCUGCCCUGCACUUCGGGAUAAGCCUGGGAAACUGGGUCUAAUACCGGAUAGGAGCCAUUUUUAGUGUGAUGGUUGGAAAGUUUUUUCGGUGUAGGAUGAGCUGGCGGCCUAUCAGCUUGUUGGUGGGGUAAUGGCCUACCAAGGCGGCGACGGGUAGCCGGCCUGAGAGGGUGGACGGCCACCCUGGGACUGAGAGACGGCCCAGACUCCGAAGGGAGGAAGCAGGGGGGAAGAUUGAACAAGGGGCGCAAGCCUGAUGCAGCGAGGCCGCGUGGGGGAUGACGGCCUUAGGGUUGAAAAAGCCUUUCGCGAGGGACGAAGCUUUUUGUGACGGUACCUAGAUAAGAAGCACCGGCUAACUACGUG
rnacentral:rRNA from 1 species